rnacentral:lncRNA from 1 species
AUGUUUCUGGAUCUUCCGUCCUUCCUCUUCUUCCUUCCUACUCGUUCUGUUCCGUCCUUCCUCUUCUUCCUUCCUACUCGUUCUGUUCCGUCCUUCCUCUUCUUCCUUCCUACUCGUUCUGUUCCGUCCUUCCUCUUCUUCCUUCCUACUCGUUCUGUUCCGUCCUUCCUCUUCUUCCUUCCUGCUCGUUCUGUUCCGUCCUUCCUCUUCUUCCUUCCUACUCGUUCUGUCCCGUCCUUCCUCUUCUUCCUUCCUACUCGUUCUGUCCCGUCCUUCCUCUUCUUCCUUCCUACUCGUUCUGUCCCGUCCUUCCUCUUCUUCCUUCCUACUCGUUCUGUUCCGUCCUUCCUCUUCUUCCUUCCUGCUCGUUCUGUUCCGUCCUUCCUCUUCUUCCUUCCUACUCGUUCUGUUCCGUCCUUCCUCUUCUUCCUUCCUACUCGUUCUGUUCCGUCCUUCCUCUUCUUCCUUCCUACUCGUUCUGUUCCGUCCUUCCUCUUCUUCCUUCCUACUCGUUCUGUUCCGUCCUUCCUCUUCUUCCUUCCUGCUCGUUCUGUUCCGUCCUUCCUCUUCUUCCUUCCUGCUCGUUCUGUCCGUCCUUCCUCUUCUUCCUUCCUGCUCGUUCUGUCCCGUCCUUCCUCUUCUUCCUUCCUACUCGUUCUGUUCCGUCCUUCCUCUUCUUCCUUCCUACUCGUUCUGUUCCGUCCUUCCUCUUCUUCAGUAAUCCAGAACCCUCCUCGCUCCUUUGUAUCUUAUUUCCUUUCCAUAAUCCUCUAUCAUAACCCACCGGUCUUAUUCUUCCUUUACUACCUCACGUCCUUCUUCUCUUCCUCUGCCUAUCUUCCUAUGUCCUUCACCUUUUUCUUUACAUCACUACGUCACUUCACUUACCCUCCUGGGUUUUUUUUACUUCAUCCUUUUGCCUUCCCUGUUUCUUCCUUUCUACCUGACCCCUUAUUUCCUCCCUCUCUCUACUACUCUAACAUCCUUUCCUCUUUUCUUUACUGUCUCUGCUUCCUCUCCCCUUCCUUCCUUCCUUCCUCCUCCCCCUCGGCACCAAUCGCUCCUGAUCUGACAGCGCUCGCCGCUGGUCCAGUUUCCUCCCUCUCCACAAUGUUGACACUGGCCCGAGUCCUGCAUCAGAUAUGCUGUAGUGUGUGUGUGUGUGUGUGUGUGUGUGUGUGUGUGUGUGUGUGUGUGUGUGUGUGUGUGCGUGUCAGCGGCACAUGA